UACGGAGGGUGCAAGCGUUGUUCGGAAUUACUGGGCGUAAAGAGUGCGUAGGCGGCUUGGCAAGUUGGAAGUGAAAUCCCGGGGCUCAACCUCGGAACUGCCCUUGAAACUGGAGAGCUAGAAUCUUGGAGAGGCGAGUGGAAUUCCGAGUGUAGAGGUGAAAUUCGUAGAUAUUCGGAAGAACACCAGUGGCGAAGGCGACUCACUGGCCCGGUACUGACGCUGAGGUGCGAAAGCGUGGGGAGCAAACAGG
rnacentral:rRNA from 1 species